rnacentral:rRNA from 1 species
GCUUGACUGCUAACCUGGAAUGGGUUCCGGCUUGGCAUGCGCAGGAUAGGUGGAGGCGAAGAAGGUUCCCUUGUGGGGGAGCUCAGAGCCAUCCUUGAGAUACCACCCUUGUCAGGCGGGAAUCCUAACCCUCACCCGUUCAGCCGGGGAGGGGACAGUUUCAGGCGGGCAGUUUGACUGGGGCGGUCGCCUCCUAAAAGGUAACGGAGGCGCGCCAAGGUUCCCUCAGGCUGGUUGGAAAUCAGCCAGAGAGUGUAAAGGCACAAGGGAGCUUGACUGCAAGAGCUACACCUCGAGCAGGGACGAAAGUCGGCCUUAGUGAUCCGACGGCACUGAGUGGAAGGGCCGUCGCUCAACGGAUAAAAGUUA